rnacentral:rRNA from 1 species
UACGGAGGGGGCUAGCGUUGUUCGGAAUUACUGGGCGUAAAGCGCACGUAGGCGGACUGGAAAGUUGGGGGUGAAAGCCCAGGGCUCAACCCUGGAACUGCCUUCAAAACUCCCAGUCUUGAGGUCGAGAGAGGUGAGUGGAAUUCCGAGUGUAGAGGUGAAAUUCGUAGAUAUUCGGAGGAACACCAGUGGCGAAGGCGGCUCACUGGCUCGAUACUGACGCUGAGGUGCGAAAGCGUGGGGAGCAAACAGG